GAGGGUAUAACUCCGUGGUAGAGGGCAUGUUUAGCAUGCAUGGGGUCCUGGGUUCAAUUCCCAGUACUUCUG
rnacentral:tRNA from 1 species